rnacentral:rRNA from 1 species
AGAGUUUGAUCCUGGCUCAGGAUGAACGCUAGCUACAGGCUUAACACAUGCUAAGGUCGAGGGGAAACGACAUCGAAAGCUUGCUUUUGAUGGGCGUCGACCGGCGUACGGGUGAGUAACGCGUAUCCGAACCUGCCCACCACUUGGGGAUAACCUUGCGAAAGUAAGACUAAUACCCAAUGAUAUCUCUAGAAGACAUCUGAAAGAAGAUUAAAGAUUUAUCGGUGAUGGAUGGGGAUGCGUCUGAUUAGCUUGUUGGCGGGGUAACGGCCCACCAGGGCAACGAUCAGUAGGGGUUCUGAGAGGAAGGUCCCCCACAUUGGAACUGAGACACGGUCCAAACUCCUACGGGAGGCAGCA